CCAUUCUAACAUUAAGCAAAAAAGAUGAAAUUAAAGUUAUACUCCUUCGGCAGUAUUUUGCACUUUAACUCACAUAUUCGCAUGCUCCCUUACUCAAGAAUUUCGCAUUUCGUUCUGUGUUGUCGUCACUUAUGCCAUUUUCUAUGGUUCGGUUUCUGCCUUUUUUUCUCUUUUUUUUUUUUUGAUUUUGGUGCUGUCUUUCCCUCGAACGACCGCAUUCCUAUUUCGCAUAUGCCACCACUUUUCGUAUGAAAUCACGAUCUAUACACGACUUUUCAAUCUUUUUACUGUCUCUUUUAGCAAUCUACAAUCUAAAAUUAAUUUUUCAGAUACAUGUCGUUCAAACAUGUGAGUUGCGCUGUCCUCCUCCUGGCCAUUUUCUACAUAAUACUCGCAUGAUGUCGUUCAGCCGGCACCUCGUCCAUCCCUCUGCAAUAUUCUUCUGCUGGCAAAAGAUGAGCAAUAAUACGUCGCUGCACAUAUGUUCUACAUUCCUCUGCAUAUCUCUAUGUGGUCGCACACACGCACAUACUUAUGCAUAUAAAUACAUGAUUUAUUGCUCGUAUCACACAUAGAUGUACUAUAUGUUUAUUUACCGACUAUUUAGCUGCUAAAUCGGAUUCGUGUUUAUCACCAAAACUUUGCUAUUUUGCUUUAAAUAUGCUGCUGCUGCGGCGCUUGUCAUUGUGGCACCAGUUUCGACUUUUGUGUCAGCUGGGCGGGUGUGUGGAUUCUUUAACGCCGGCAACUUAUACACUUGCGUCAGCGUCUAUGUAGUCACCAGUGGGAAAAAUACGUAGUACCAGAGAAAGGCUGAUAUCAAGUAAUAAUAAUCAGCCAUCAGGAUUUCCUAGACCAAUACGUUGUAUGACUGCUUGCUUACUGAUCGGGAAAUUUCCAUCGUCACAAGCAAUAUAAUUCGAAGUUUUCCACCGCUUUUGUUGCACAGCGUGCACUGUAAAGUGCCUUACCACGGCCGAAGCUGGGGGCCAUCCUCGUCGAAUUUCACAAUUCCUUUGCUUUUUCCGGUCGAAGUGCACUUCCGAUUGAAUUGUCUUCACUUUUCUAUCUUGUUGGCCGUUCCUUCAUUGGCUCACGUAUACGCGCACCAACACAAGUCUAUUUGGCGAGAACACGAACACAUUCAGACUGACGUCGCCGCCUAUAUACACAUUAGUCCAUACAAAAUACAUACUUUGCACUACAAACGUACAUACAUGCAGCCAAAUAUAUAAUACAUGUGCACAAGCACUGAACCGCAGUGCACAAUGCCCAUUUGUCGUUUGCCGCAAUACCGCCCGUCAUAUGACGAUGACGAUAAUAACAGUGCAAACAAGUACACACGGCAACAAUGGAAAUACUUUCAAUAUUUAAACAAUGCCAAAAAAUAUCCGAUAAGUCUGCGUUUUUUUCUGUUCUUUUUUUUAAACUCAUUUUCGAAACGUGUAAACAACGCCCACAGCACUUCCAACUGAUCCUUAGCAAAUUGUGUGUAGUUUUUGUUAUAGCGUCACUCCCCUCUAUGUCUACCAUUUGGAAAAUCAGCUGUCUGUCAUCGGCGUUUGCACUCGGCGACGACCUUAAAUAACUGCUUGGCCAUCUGGUGUACUGUUGUGACUAACAACUAACUGAGUAACUGACUAACUCUUGAUGUCUGCUUCCAGUUUGAAUGCUUUGUACUUCAUCAUGCCUAAGGCUUGCAAAGUGCUCACGAUAUCAUAUGAAUAUAUUGCCGUUUCCUGCACAUUAGAAAUAAAGAACGAAGAAUAAUCAGUAAGCAGUAGAAAAUUCUUAUGGACUGAUUUUUUGUAUUUCCGGUUCGCGUGCACAGAUAAUCCAGCAACACAUCUUUCCAAUAAGACCGAUAAGAUAUCAAACCCAAGUCCGACAGUGGCUUUUCCGGCGAUCCAAUUUUGCCCUCCACUCUAGUCAGAAGGUAA